rnacentral:rRNA from 3 species
UUCGCAAUGCCCGAAAGGGUGACGAAGCGACGCCGCGUGCGGGAGGAAGGCCUUCGGGUUGUAAACCGCUGUCGGGAGUUAAGAAAUGCAAGGAUGUUAAUAGCGUUCUUGCUUGACUAAGGCUCCGGAGGAAGCCACGGCUAACUCUGUGCCAGCAGCCGCGGUAAUACAGAGGCGGCAAGCGUUGUUCGGAAUUAUUGGGCGUAAAGAGCACGUAGGCGGCUGUGUAAGUCGGUUGUGAAAGCCUUCCGCUCAACGGAAGAACGGCAUCCGAUACUGCAUGGCUUGAGUGUGGGAGGGGAGAGUGGAACUUCUGGUGGAGCGGUGAAAUGCGUAGAUAUCAGAAGGAACACCGGCGGCGAAGGCGACUCUCUGGUCCAUAACUGACGCUGAGUGUGCGAAAGCUAGGGGAGCAAACGGGAUUAGAUACCCCGGUAGUCCUAGCCGUAAACGAUGGGCACUAAGUAGAGGGGUUUU